rnacentral:rRNA from 1 species
UCCGGGUUGAUCCUGCCAGAGGUUACUGCUAUCGGUGUUCGACUAAGCCAUGCGAGUCAUAUGUUCUUCGUGAACAUGGCGGACUGCUCAGUAACACGUGGAUAACCUGCCCUUAGGUUUGGCAUAACUCCGGGAAACUGGAGAUAAUUCCGAAUAGGUCAAAUAUGCUGGAAUGCUUUUUGACCAAAAGACCUCGGUUGCCUAAGGAUGGAUCUGCGGUCUAUCAGGUAGUAGUGGGUGUAACGUACCUACUAG